UAGGUAUCCCUCGACUUUCGAGAAAUGUGUCACCCAGAAAAAUGCCUCAAUCUGAAAAAUUCUACCAUCACUGGAAAGAUAAUUUAAUAUUCUAUCGAUUGAGGAAGUUUGGUGGGUGGCACAUUCCUAUUAAUGCACUAAUAUUGACUUUAAAAAUUUCAAUGCACUUUUUAGAAAAAAAUCACGACAUUUUCUUCCUUGGUGACAACCGCGCCAUCUAUUGAUGAGCAAAAACUAUGUAGCUUCGAGACCUUUAACAGUUUUUAACAUAACCUUACUUUUUUGUUUUGAUUCUUGAUUUUCAUCAUUUUCUUUGUUUUAAAGCUUAUUUUUGUGCUUUAGCAUGACUAAAAUACAGUAAAAGUUAGAAUAUUUGCCUAAGUGAUGUGUAAAGUGCUGCCGAUUUGUGAUACGUGACAAAGAAAAUGUUUAUUUUCACGAGUGAAAGUUGUAAUGCCACCCGGAAGACUUUGUGCAAGAAAAAAAAUGGGGAUUUCUUUGUCGCAGGCAAUUUCUGAUUGCAAAUUGGAAUAUCAGGCGAAUCUUGAACUGACAAAAAGUCUAGGUGCCCCAUGGUUUUGUCAGGAGUCAUGUCCGGUCAUCAAUUCUCACCGAGGAAUGCGAAGUAUUAAAAUCUUGAGGCUGCUAGAGUGAAAUAUUUUUAGAAAAGGCAAACAAACAACCUAUUCAGUUCUCAAGGGAAGGAUCAAGGAGACUGAAGCGCCUAUGAGAAGAUUGAUUCACAACACUGAAGCAUAAUAGAAGUACCAAAGAAGGACUAGAAAAGCAGAUUACGACUUUAUUUAACGUCACUGGAGAUAAACUUGUAGUGCUACAAUACUAAUAAGCGAAUCCUGAGAAGCUCAAUGUCCAGGAUUCAUUGAAUGUCGGGAAGAAGCUGUUCUCUCUUGAGAAGUAGAAAAUUCGUCUGACUAUUCCCAGUUCAGGAAAUGCUGUGAACACUCAUAACAAAUAAUUUCUAAUUUAGGGUGAAAAUUGGAAUUUUAUUUGUCUACUGACUUUACAAAACACAAUAUGUACGCAAAGAUAUCUCUGUCGCAUCUGUAUGAUCAACAUAUUUUUUUUCCGGAAGAAUGCUGUUAUAUUUUCUUCGUUGCAAUAGGCUCACUCAAAACGAAUUGCUCAAUGUACGGAAUGAGGGCAGUAAUUGUGAAGUCCUGAAUGAGGUGACGCGGUUUAUGUGCAUCGCUGGCUGCUAGGUUGCAAAAUAGGAGUCUCAGUACUGUGAUCAUUGGCGAUAUAUCUCCUGCAUUUCCCCGCAGGAGCUACAGUGAAGGAUGUACCGCUUCAUCGAUGAGAAUUGCCAG